CCUACGGGGGGCAGCAGUGGGGAAUAUUGCACAAUGGGCGCAAGCCUGAUGCAGCCAUGCCGCGUGUGUGAAGAAGGCUUUCGGGUUGUAAAGCACUUUCAGCGGGGAGGAAGGCGGUGAGGUUAAUAACCUCAUCGAUUGAUGUUACCCGCAGAAGAAGCACCGGCUAACUCCGUGCCAGCAGCCGCGGUAAUACGGAGGGUGCAAGCGUUAAUCGGAAUUACUGGGCGUAAAGCGCACGCAGGCGGUCUGUCAAGUCGGAUGUGAAAUCCCCGGGCUCAACCUGGGAACUGCAUUCGAAACUGGCAGGCUAGAGUCUUGUAGAGGGGGGUAGAAUUCCAGGUGUAGCGGUGAAAUGCGUAGAGAUCUGGAGGAAUACCGGUGGCGAUGGUGGCCCCCUGGACAAAGACUGACGCUCAGGUGCGAAAGCGUGGGGAGCAAACAGGAUUAGAUACCCUCGUAGUC
rnacentral:rRNA from 1 species